UUCUCACAAGAUCUGGUAGUUUGAAAGUGUGUAGCUCUUCUGCCUUUGUGUGCUUUCUCUCUCUCCUGCUUCCAAGUCAAGAUGUGCUGGCUUCUCCUUUGCCCUUCUGUCAUUAUUGUAAGUUUCAUGAGGCCUCGGAGCCACGCUUCCUGUAUAGCCUGCAGAACUGGAGUCCUCCAGGGAUGGCCAUACCUUUCUCUCCAAGAGCUUUGGCGAACUCUACUCCAAUCUGAACAGGUUACUCAAUGUGAAGAUGACAACAAGGGUGAAGACUUUAAUGAUGAUCCACUUCCACUUAAAAAAUAAUAAAUAUAUUUUCUCCUCC
rnacentral:lncRNA from 1 species